ensembl:snoRNA
GGCCUCCUGGGAUCCCAUCUGGAAAGUGCUUAGUAUUCUGCCUGCUUCACAAAGGGAGGGAAAGCAAACCUGGUGAGGCACCCUUUCCAUUCCAGCUUGCUUAGUAGCUGGUGAUUGGAAGACACUCUGUGACAGCG